rnacentral:rRNA from 1 species
AACGGCCAUACCAUGCUGAAUAUACCGGUUCUCGUUAGAUCACCGAAGUCAAGCAUCAUUGGGCGCGGUCAGUACUUGGGUGGGUGACCGCCUGGGAACACCGCGUGUCGUU